rnacentral:rRNA from 1 species
AUUGAACGCUGGCGGCAGGCCUAACACAUGCAAGUCGAGCGGAUGAAGGGAGCUUGCUCCUGGAUUCAGCGGCGGACGGGUGAGUAAUGCCUAGGAAUCUGCCUGGUAGUGGGGGAUAACGUCCGGAAACGGGCGCUAAUACCGCAUACGUCCUGAGGGAGAAAGUGGGGGAUCUUCGGACCUCACGCUAUCAGAUGAGCCUAGGUCGGAUUAGCUAGUUGGUGGGGUAAAGGCCUACCAAGGCGACGAUCCGUAACUGGCCUGAGAGGAUGAUCAGUCACACUGGAACUGGGACACGGUCCAGGCUCCUGCGGGAGGCAGCAGUGGGGAAUGUUGGACAAUGGGCGAAAGCCUGAUCCAGCCAUGCCGCGUGUGUGAAGAAGGUCUUCGGAUUGUAAAGCACUUUAAGUUGGGAGGAAGGGCAGUAAGUUAAUACCUUGCUGUUUUGACGUUACCAACAGAAUAAGCACCGGCUAACUUCGUG